rnacentral:rRNA from 1 species
CCUACGGGGGGCUGCAGUGGGGAAUAUUGGACAAUGGGCGAAAGCCUGAUCCAGCCAUGCCGCGUGUGUGAAGAAGGCCUUCGGGUUGUAAAGCACUUUAAGUGGGGAAGAAAGCCUUGUGGCUAAUACCCUCGAGGAAGGACAUCACCCACAGAAGAAGCACCGGCUAACUCCGUGCCAGCAGCCGCGGUAAUACGGAGGGUGCGAGCGUUAAUCGGAAUUACUGGGCGUAAAGCGCGCGUAGGCGGUCUGAUAAGCCGGUUGUGAAAGCCCCGGGCUCAACCUGGGAACGGCAUCCGGAACUGUCAGGCUAGAGUGCAGGAGAGGAAGGUAGAAUUCCCGGUGUAGCGGUGAAAUGCGUAGAGAUCGGGAGGAAUACCAGUGGCGAAGGCGGCCUUCUGGACUGACACUGACGCUGAGGUGCGAAAGCGUGGGUAGCAAACAGGAUUAGAUACCCUGGUAGUC